CCUUGAUCUCUGCUCUCCAUUCUAAAGUAAAUUAUACAGAGGAAGAGUUAAAGAUUAUGUCUAAGUUUUUCUUUUGUUCCUUAUGUGAAACCAGUUCUGUGGCCAACAUCAUCUGCUAUGCACAUCAAUAUCUCUCCAGUGCAAUGCUGCACUACAUUAGAGCCUGGGUCUUCAUACGUGCUGGAAACUGCUGAUGAAGUGCAAUGUAAUGGAGGAGAUAAUACCAAUUUCCACCAGAAGAUAGCAGGACUGCCAACUAUCACCGCUUAAAAGGCACUAACAUCUUAGGCGAGAUGUCUGACUUUAUUUUCCAAGCUUCAGUACGGUGCAAUGUGCUUAACUGUCAACAGUCACAACUGACAGGCUUUGUUUGCUGCUGCUUGCUGCCUUUCAGCUGGGAUGAAUGUGUCCAGUCAACCAGCUUGAAUUAUAAAUUACCAGUGGAAAUGAUGAGUCUCCAUUCCUGCAACUGAACCAGCCUGCAGGGUGGAAAAAAAAAUGCAUUGUUCAGUAAACUCAAGUGUGAUCUUCAGAAGGAAACUCAGCCUUUAAGAAAAUGAGAUACAUCUAGAAACAUUCAAAAGCCAAGAUUCAGACAAAAACUUUGAACAGGAGGAUUAAGGCAUUUCAGGUUCCAGAAUAAAGCAAGGAGCUGUGGCAAGAAGCAGAGGUGUGAGAAAUCACAAGACAGCAAUGGAAGUCAUCGCCCAAAACCCACCAGGAGGGCAGAGGAGACUGAGGGAUCAAAGAGGAGCUGCCAGAAAGCUGUGAGUACAGUCCCACAUCCUGUGCUGCAUGAGAACGCUUCUGCAGUGUAUGACCAGCUCCUGGUGAUUUAGAACAAGUGAUACUGGAACAAGAGACAUGAAUAUUGCAGAUAGCAAAGUAAGUAGUUCUGCUGUAUACUGGCACUAUUAAAAUAUGAUGCAAAGAGUUAGAAAUGGAAGACUCUGGUUUGAAGUGCCAGAACUACCUGCUUGUAUCCCACUUCAGGAAUGGAAAGCAGAGUA